AUUGAACGCUGGCGGCAGGCCUAACACAUGCAAGUCGAGCGGAUGAAGGGAGCUUGCUCCUGGAUUCAGCGGCGGACGGGUGAGUAAUGCCUAGGAAUCUGCCUGGUAGUGGGGGAUAACGUCCGGAAACGGGCGCUAAUACCGCAUACGUCCUGAGGGAGAAAGUGGGGGAUCUUCGGACCUCACGCUAUCAGAUGAGCCUAGGUCGGAUUAGCUAGUUGGUGGGGUAAAGGCCUACCAAGGCGACGAUCCGUAACUGGUCUGAGAGGAUGAUCAGUCACACUGGAACUGAGACACGGUCCAGACUCCUACGGGAGGCAGCAGUGGGGAAUAUUGGACAAUGGGCGAAAGCCUGAUCCAGCCAUGCCGCGUGUGUGAAGAAGGACUUCGGAUUGUAAAGCACUUUAAGUUGGGAGGAAGGGCAGUAAGUUAAUACCUUGCUGUUUUGACGUUACCAACAGAAUAAGCACCGGCUAACUUCGUG
rnacentral:rRNA from 1 species